GACGAACGCUGGCGGCGUGCUUAACACAUGCAAGUCGAACGGAAAGGCCCUGCUUUUGUGGGGUGCUCGAGUGGCGAACGGGUGAGUAACACGUGAGUAACCUGCCCUUGACUUUGGGAUAACUUCAUGAAACUUGGGCUCAUACCGGAUAGGAGCUCCUGCUGCAUGGUGGGGGUUGGAAAGUUUCGGCGGUUGGGGAUGGACUCGCGGCUUAUCAGCUUGUUGGUGGGGUAGUGGCGUACCAAGGCUUUGACGGGUAGCCGGCCUGAGAGGGUGACCGGCCACAUUGGGACUGAGAUACGGCCCAGACUCCUACGGGAGGCAGCAGUGGGGAAUAUUGCACAAUGGGCGGAAGCCUGAGGCAGCAACGCCGCGUGCGGGAUGACGGCCUUCGGGUUGUAAACCGCUUUCGCCUGUGACGAAGCGUGAGUGACGGUAAUGGGUAAAGAAGCACCGGCUAACUACGUG
rnacentral:rRNA from 1 species